AUUGAACGCUGGCGGCAGGCCUAACACAUGCAAGUCGAACGAGUGGCGGACGGGUGAGUAAUGUCUGGGAAACUGCCCGAUGGAGGGGGAUAACUACUGGAAACGGUAGCUAAUACCGCAUACCAUCGGAUGUGCCCAGAUGGGAGUAGCUAGUAGGGGGGGUAACGGCUCACCUAGGCGACGAUCCCUAGCUGGUCUGAGAGGAUGACCAGCCACACGGGAACUGAGACACGGUCCAGACGCCUACGGGAGGCAGCCGGGGGGAAUAUUGCACAAUGGGCGCAAGGCUGAUGCAGCCAUGCCGCGUGUAUGAAGAAGGCCUUCGGGUUGUAAAGUACUUUCAGCGAGGAGGCGUUACUCGCAGAAGAAGCACCGGCUAACACCGUGCCAGCAGCCGCGGUAAUUC
rnacentral:rRNA from 1 species